GAAUCUGCCCACAGUUAUUCAUCCUUCCAUCAAAUAUUUAUUGAUCUUCCAUAAACAAACUCCUUAAUAAGGAGAGAACCAGAGAGGAGUGGAGGCUGAUUCUCUUCUCAGGGAGAGGGCUCUUUAUGUGCAGCUAGUCUUGGAGACAAGCUGAGGUUGUGUGGAUGUCAGAACGCCACCUGGGCCCUCAUGUCUCUGUGACUGUACACAGAGAUUGCACCAGAUUACUCUUGGUACCCUCUAGAGGGAUGACCUGUCUACCCCUGAUCUUGUUGGUUCUAGCAGAUGUAAUCAAGGCUAGAUAUAGUCCCACUGGAUUAUGGAGGACCCUAACCUAAUGACUGGUGUUGUUACAAGGGUAGAAUUCAAGGUUUGAACACAGAUCUAGACAGGACAGUUAGAAACAGCUUCAUAAAGCCAGAGGCAGAGACUGAGAUGGUGCAGUCAUGAGCCAAUGAAUGUUAUGGCCACCAGAGCCUGGGCAAGAUGGGAAGGGUCUUCCUCCCCAGAGGCUACUAAGGGAGUUAGCUCUGUGUACACCCUCAUCUCAGAGGAGUUUUGCAUUUAGAGCUGUUACAAGAUAAGUUUCAGCUGUUAGGAGCCAUCUAUCCAUCUGUGCCAAAUGGGUCUCCCACAUUAUCACUAUAUGAAUCCCACAAAACCAGGCAGGACUCAAGUGCUACAGGCCCUUGCAUCUGAGACGAGUUGGGGUGUUGCUGCUAGAUUAGAUUAGCAUUGACCACCUCAGGGUCUCUAUGUAGUAUCUUGAAGAUGGGUCAACGGUUAUGUUUGGCUGAGACUGAAGCCCAGCAGGCAGGAUGCUCAGAGUAGUAGUUGUCAACCUGUGGGUCAAACACCAACACCAACACCAACAAAACACCCAGAGCCAGAUGGUUUUAGCACAGAAUUCCACCAGACUUUCAAAGAGGAGUUAAAACCAAUGCUCCUCAAAUUAUUCUAUAGAACGGAAACAAAGAAACAUUGCU
rnacentral:lncRNA from 1 species